UACGGAGGAUGCAAGCGUUAUCCGGAAUGAUUGGGCGUAAAGCGUCUGUAGGUGGUUUUUAAAGUCGGAUGUGAAAUCCCUCGGCUCAACCAAGGAAGUGCAUCCGAAACUGCUGAGCUUGAGUACUUAAGAGGAUCGCGGAAUUCCCGGUGUAGAGGUGAAAUUCGUAGAUAUCGGGAGGAACACCAGUGGCGAAGGCGGCGAUCUGGGAAGAUACUGACGCUGAGGUGCGAAAGCGUGGGGAGCAAACAGG
rnacentral:rRNA from 1 species